rnacentral:rRNA from 1 species
GGUAAUUCUGGAGCUAAUACACGCAAACAAGCUCAGACCUUAKGGAAUGAGCGCAUUUAUUAGAACAAAAACCAAUCGGAUYUCGGUCCGUCAUUUGGUGWAUCUGAAUAACUUUGCUGAUCGCACGGUCAUCGUACCGGCGACAUAUCUUUCAAAUGUCUGCCUUAUCAACUUUCGAUGGUAGUUUAUGCGCCUACCAUGGUUGUAACGGGUAACGGAGAAUAAGGGUUCGACUCCGGAGAGGGAGCCUGAGAAACGGCUACCACAUCCAAGGAAGGCAGCAGGCACGCAAAUUACCCACUCCCGGCACGGGGAGGUAGUGACGAAAAAUAACGAGACGGCUCGCUAUGCGGUCCGUCAUCGGAAUGGGUACAAUUUAAAUCCUUUAACGAGGAUCUAUUGGAGGGCAAGUCUGGUGCCAGCAGCCGCGGUAAUUCCAGCUCCAAUAGCAUAUAUUAAAGUUGUUGCGGUUAAAACGCCCGUAGUUGGAUCAGCGGAUUUGGRGAACGGUCUCCCGAUGGGCUGUACUGUUCUCCUGUCCUAAUUUCUCUAGUUCGCUCUAGGUGCUCUUUACUGAGUGUCUAGAGUGGCUGGAACUUUUACUUUGAAAAARUUAGAGUGCUCAAAGCAGGCGUCUCAGCCUGAAUAGUGGUGCAUGGAAUAAUGGAAUAGGACCUCAGUUCUAUUUUGUUGGUUUUCGGAGCAUGAGGUAAUGAUUAAGAGGGACAGACGGGGGCAUUCGUAUUGCGACGUUAGAGGUGAAAUUCUUGGAUCGUCGCAAGACGAACUACUGCGAAAGCAUUUGCCAAGAAUGUUUUCAUUAAUCAAGGACGAUAGUUAGAGGUUCGAAGGCGAUCAGAUACCCGCCCUAGUUCUAACCGUAAACGAUGUCAACCAGCGAUCCGSAGGAGUUAUUCAUGACUCUGCGGGCAGCUUCCGGGAAACCAAAGUUUUUGGAUUCCGGGGGGAGUAUGGUUGCAAAGCUGAAACUUAAAGGAAUUGACGGAAGGGCACCACCAGGAGUGGAGCCUGCGGCUUAAUUUGACUCAACGCGGGGAAACUCACCCGGCCCGGACACCGUAAGGAUUGACAGAUUGAGAGCUCUUUCUUGAUUCGGUGGGUGGUGGUGCAUGGCCGUUCUUAGUUGGUGGAGCGAUUUGUCUGGUUAAUUCCGAUAACGAACGAGACUCUAGCCUACUAAAUAGAAGGCAAAUUAUUCGUUUGCUGUACUUCUUAGAGGGACUAGGGGCGUCUAGCCUCACGAGAUUGAGCAAUAACAGGUCUGUGAUGCCCUUAGAUGUCCGGGGCCGCACGCGCGCUACACUGAAGGAUUCAGCAAGUGUUAACCCUGGUCUGAGAAGAUCGGGUAACCUAAUGAAACUCCUUCGUGAUUGGGAUAGGGACUUGUAAUUAUUUCCCUUGAACGAGGAAUUCCUAGUAAGUGUGGGUCAUCAUCUCGCGUUGAUUACGUCCCUGCCCUUUGUACACACCGCCCGUCGCUACUAUCGAGUGAUGAGUUAUCCAGAUUCUCGGACUGGCUCCUUGGCGGCUUCACGGCUGCCAUCGUGGUUUGGAAAGAGAUUCUAGAUCACUUAUCGCAAGAAAGU